ensembl:lncRNA
CUGCUUUCCUAUCUGUUUACCUGUUGUCUGAACGUCUUUCUGUCUGUCUCCCUGUCUGUCUGUCUGUCUCCGUGUCUGUCUCUCUAUCUGGUUUCCUGUCUGGCUUUGUGCCUGGCUUCCUGUCUGUCUGACUCACUGUCUGUCUGUCAUUCUGUUUGUCUCCCUGUCUGUCUCCCUGUCUGUCUCCCUACCUGGCUUCCUGUCUGUCUCUCUGUCUUCCUGUCUGUCUGACUCACUGUCUGUCCGCCUUCCUAUCUGUUUACCUGUUGUCUGUCUUCCUGAAUGUCUUUCUGUCUGUCUCCCUGUCUGUCUGUCUGUCUCCGUGUCUGUCUCUCUACCUGGUUUCCUGUCUGGCUUUGUGCCUGGCUUCCUGUCUGUCUCUCUGUCUUCCUGUCUGUCUGACUCACUGUCUGUCUGCCUUCCUGUCUGUUUACUUGUCUGUCUGUCUCCCUGUCUCUCUCCCUAACUGUGUGUCUGUCUCCCUGUCUGCCUAUCUGUCUCCCUGUGUCUCUCUCUCUGUCUGUCCAUCUCCCUCCCUUCCUGUCUGUCUGUCUGUGUAACUGCUGCUGCUGUCUCUGUAUCUGUCUGCCUGUCUGUCUCACUGUCUUUCUGUAUAACAUCGUCUAUUUUUGUAUCUAAUGAAAAACAACAGUUCUUUAAGAGUUCCUUAACUUUCUACAAAUGUUUCUUUCGCUUUUUCAUGAUAUAUUCAGAAUUCCUAUCUCAUAAUUUAAGUCAGUAUGACUCACUAACUGCGGCUUAAGCGCCUCAAAUUCAUUCCCUGGUUAAAAACGACACAGAGUAAUCAGAGAAAGAGAGCGAGACGACCAUCUGACACGCUCUUAGAGCAGUACGCCUCCGAGUACACUACCACUGCUUCCAGUUUCAUUUCAAAAUAAAAACCUGAUAACUAGGUUAAAGUGUGAGUGUGUUAUGUAAAGAAUAAACGACUCAGUGUCGUGGAAAAGAAUCAAAUGAUGAAGAGGAGUCACUGUUACUACACUGAUUACUUUCCUACAGCAGUUGUAACAGUGUCGUAUUUAUCAAAGACUGACACGUCAUGCUUUUCAUCUGUUUAUAGUGACAGUACUGGUGUAGUUCAUAUCCUCCCUUACGUUAUAGCAGCUAUAAAUGCUCCUCUCUCACCAGCCCUCUCUUUUUUCCUCUCUCUUAAAGUUAUAAGACAAAAACAAGCAGUUUGUCACUCCUCUGUCCUGAAGUACCUCGAAAAACUUAAACUUACAGCUUUACCUCUGACUGAUGCAAACCACUGACGCUGGAGACAUUAAAAACAUGCUUUUUAAUCCGUUUAUGUGGCGCGCACGCUUCACAAGUCUGUGCUGUUACUAUAGAAACAAUGAAGUAUUCGAAUAAAUAAUAUGAAGCUGUGAUUUGCAGCUGCGCUACUGUCCGAGCUGCUGUUCGGAAAGAUAAGUUGCUGCGUGCGCGCGUGUGUGUGUGUGUGUGUGUGGUCUCGGAUGUAUAGGGUGUGUUCGGGGUGUGUGUGUGACUCUGUGUCAUGCGCUGCCAGCUGAAUAAUGAAGUGGAGCUCACACAGCGUGCUGGAGGAGAUAAGAGAGAUUCACUUCUCUCAGAUUUGGCAGACGAGUGUCCACUGAGACAGAUAAAAAAUUAACCACUCGCUCACACACAGCGCCUAAUUCAGGAUUUCGGGGGAAGAGAUGAUUCUGAGUGCGCACCAAACACACACACACACACAGGCUUCCCUCUCUCCAUUUCUAUUUCUUACGGUGAGAAUGGGAGCGAUGAUGUAAAAGGUGUGAGAUGUACCUAAUAGUGAGGGGAAUUCCAGCUCUUUAUUAGCGAGUCGGUGAAUUAUUUGACUCAUAAAUAAGAGUCGACUCUUUCGCCUCCCAAACCACUUUUUUUUUUUUAAAUAAAAGUUGUUAGACUGAAUCAGUGAAUCAGCUGCGUGUCAUCAAAUGUGCACUGACAUCAACAAACUUUAAUUGUCCCUGCUGCACUGUUUGUGCUUAAUUAAGAAGAUUUAAGGUCCUAGGUCUAGGUCCUACCUGUGACUAGGUCUAGGUCCUACCUGUGACUAGGUCUAGAUCAGACCUGUGACUAGGUCUAGAUCCUACCUGUGACUAGGUCUAGGUCCUACCUGUGACUAGGUCUAGGUCCUACCUGUGACUAGGUCUAGAUCCUACCUGUGACUAGGUCUAGAUCCUACCUGUGACUAGUUCUAGAUCCUACCUGUGACUAGGUCUAGGUCCUACCUGUGACUAGGUCUAGAUCCUACCUGUGACUAGUUCCUGUUAACAGUUUGACGAACCGUGGUUUUAUCUUAUCCUCUCACUGCUACUUCCUUCCAAGUUGUUUUGGUCUUCAUAAUGUCUCCGAACACACGUAUACUUUUAUACACAUGUAAUGAGAGGUCGUACAUCAGUCGAGUGAGCGACCUCUCAUUACAUGUGUAUAAAAGCAUUACGUGCGUUCAGAGACGUUAUGAAGAACGAAAUAGCUUGGAAGGAAGUAGCAGUGAGCGCACGUAGCUAAUACAGUUAGCUUGCUUUGCUAAUCUUAUCUGAGAACAAAGCUAGUACGAAGCCGAGCAUGCGACAUGUAACACAAAUAUAUGUGUAUAAAUAGUACAGCAGAGUGCAGGAUGUAGAUUUUCACUACUGUUUCUGGACAGGCCACGCCCACAAUCAACAACAGUAACGCUGCUACACACACACACACACACACUCAUUUAAUAUGACAUUAUAAUCUCCUGAAAAUUAUGAUCAGAGUCAGCGUUAUGAUCAGGGUCGAACCGUUUCAGUCGGAGGGAACCGUACCGGAAAAGCUUUUGUUGUGCAACUGUACUGGACACAACACACACUCACACACACACACACACAAGCAGUUGAAGAGCUGCUCACACCUCAAUACAACAACUCUAAAUAUACACCAUAUGUUUACAGCCUGCGCUUCUCUUCCACUCUGAGUCACUACAGGAACAGGAUCAUGAGCGCAAAACUCUGAUAUAGAAACCCUGUACGUCCUGCCCUGCUGGAAAAUACUACAGAAACCCUGAUAGAAUUUGUAAUGGUUUUAAUGGUUAUAAUGGGAAUUGUAUUGGUUGUAAUGGAAACUGUAAUACUCCCUGUGAGUCUCUACUGGUAAUUUGUUGCCUUCUAUUGGUCUAGUAAAUACCAUUAAGGACCACUAAUGGUAAUGGUUUAAUGGUUAGCUGAUGGAUUGUAAUGGUAUUUGUACUGGAAACCAUUAGAAUUUCUGUGAUGGUUUCUACUGGGGUUUUUUUUUUCCAGCUGGGAAGUUUCCAACCGCCUGCUUGAGGAGCACGAUGUAUUUCUCAUAUUAUCAUUAAACAUGAACAUUUUGGCCAAAACGAGAUUUUGUAAGUGACGCCAUGUUUAAAGCGCUGAUAAUCCUGAUAAGUUUGAACAUCUUUAAUAUCGAUUACUUCUGUUUUAUAAGAGUCAAAAAGCGGUUUUAGUGAAAUGGGGCUUUGUGUGAAGGGUUUAUGCUAUGCAUCAUGAUAUUUAGGUAUGCAAACCAAAGUGGCAGAGAAAAAAAAGACAUUAAAAUAGUGACAGUUUUUAAACAUUUGCACAGUAAAGAGAGAGAGAAAGAGAGAGAAAGAGACAGAAUGACUCAUCUAGUACACCAGAAUAUUUUUAAUGUUCGAUCUUACAAACAUUACUGCUCACAGUGACUAAACAUAACUAUAAAAGGGUAAUAAAGUACGGCUGAUAAAAAGCCACACUGACAAUAUUAAAGCAGCGGUGUGUAAAGUUUAAGCGCCCUCUUGCUGCCUGGAACUGCGACUGCAAUUAGAUAACAGACCCCCCUUCACUUCACUUUCCCCCUCCCACCGCCGUUAUUAAAGCUAUUUGAAGGGGUGGAGCUAGGCAUGUGGACAGAGCAUAUUUCAGGGCUGGAAAACUGUAAAAAGGCCAAAAUGAUUUUUUAUUUUUAUUUUAAUUGGCCUGAUCCAGAUUCAGGGAAUUACAUCACAGCAAACAGCUUCCCAGGUAUUUAUAAUGAUACACAAUAGAAUUGUGGGAUUGACUCCACAGACCUGUUCAUUCAUUUAAUUAUGUAUUUAUUUAAUUUUCAGGAAAAAAAAUAUUCGUGGCCACAGUCACUGUUUAUGGUCUGCACUCAUAUAGUGCUUUUUUAACCUUAGCAGCUCCAAAGCGCUUUACACUGUGUCUCACUCACCCAUUCACACACACACACACUCACACACCAAUGGGAGCAGAGCUGUGAGGCGCUAACUUGCCAUCGGGAGCAACUUGGGGUUCAGUGUCUCGCCCAAGGACACUUCGGUAUGUGGAGUCACGUGGGCCGGGAAUCGAACCUCCAACAAUGCGAUUAGUGGGCAACCCGCUCUACCACCUGAUCCACAACCGUACAUUUAUUUAUUAUAUAUUUAUUUAGUUAUUUAUUUAUUUGUUUGUUCGUUUUAUGCAUGUAACCCUGUUCCCUGAAAAGGGAAUGAGACGUUGCAUGAGCUCAACAAUGUGGGAAGUGCCCUCACGCGUGACCGGCAUCUGAAGUUUGUGUAACAUCAUGCCUAUUUACAGGCCUGCCAUGAUCAGGUGACAUUGCAAUUAAGCGCGUCGCGUGAUGUAAAAACGGAACCUGUGAACCGCGCCAUCAGCCUCCAUUAUCUGAAGCGAAGACGCAGUACACAGACAUGCUCCAGUAUGACAAAGCUAUGCAAUGUCUCGUCCCCUUCUAGGGAACAGGGUUACAUGCAUAACUCAGACGUUGCCUUUCAAAGGGAACUCACCGUUGCGUGAGCUUCACACUGUGGGAACGAGAACACCCACUCCAUCAUACUAAGGGUAUGGCCUGUUCCCAAAAGAUCUGAGCCCAAGGGUCACUGCAAGACACUCGAGCCCAGGGUGGAAUGUAUAUCCAGGCUGUAAUAUCAAAUGAAUGUGUGCGGCAUAGACCACCCCGCUGCAGCACACACACCCUGUAAGGGUACCCUUUUGGACAAAACCUUCGAGGAGGCGGAACCCCUAGUGCUCCAGCUUAUGCCACUGGCCAGAGCGG